rnacentral:ribozyme from 1 species
UCCCCAGCAACUCCUAUCCCUACCUCCUGGCGGUACUAUCCGGGGUACGAGUAACCUUAGUUCGGGUAACCAACCUCCGGUGGAAACUUUGGUCGUAUGCUGACAGGGAAGG